rnacentral:tRNA from 2 species
GGGGGUAUAGUUCAGGGGUAGAGCAUUUGACUGCAAAUCAAGAGGUCCCUGGUUCAAAUCCAGGUGCCCCCU